GUUGAACGCUGGCGGCAUGCCUUACACAUGCAAGUCGAACGGUAACAGGUCUUCGGAUGCUGACGAGUGGCGAACGGGUGAGUAAUACAUCGGAACGUGCCUAGUAGUGGGGGAUAACUACUCGAAAGAGUGGCUAAUACCGCAUGAGAUCUACGGAUGAAAGCAGGGGAUCGCAAGACCUUGUGCUACUAGAGCGGCCGAUGGCAGAUUAGGUAGUUGGUGGGAUAAAAGCUUACCAAGCCGACGAUCUGUAGCUGGUCUGAGAGGACGAUCAGCCACACUGGGACUGAGACACGGCCCAGACUCCUACGGGAGGCGGCAGUGGGGAAUUUUGGACAAUGGGCGAAAGCCUGAUCCAGCAAUGCCGCGUGCAGGAUGAAGGCCUUCGGGUUGUAAACUGCUUUUGUACGGAACGAAAAGCCCCGGGUUAAUACCCUGGGGUCAUGACGGUACCGUAAGAAUAAGUACCGGCUAACUACGUGCCAGCCGCCGCAGUAA
rnacentral:rRNA from 1 species